UCGCCUAAGGAUGAGCCCGCGUAGGAUUAGCUUGUUGGUGAGGUAAAGGCUCACCAAGGCUACGAUCCUUAGCUGGUCUGAGAGGAUGAUCAGCCACACUGGGACUGAGACACGGCCCAG
rnacentral:rRNA from 1 species